rnacentral:rRNA from 1 species
GAUGAACGCUGGCGGCGUGCCUAAUACAUGCAAGUCGAGCGAACGGACGAGAAGCUUGCUUUUCUGAUGUUAGCGGCGGACGGGUGAGUAACACGUGGAUAACCUACCUAUAAGACUGGGAUAACUUCGGGAAACCGGAGCUAAUACCGGAUAAUAUUUUGAACCGCAUGGUUCAAAAGUGAAAGACGGUCUUGCUGUCACUUAUAGAUGGAUCCGCGCUGCAUUAGCUAGUUGGUAAGGUAACGGCUUACCAAGGCAACGAUGCAUAGCCGACCUGAGAGGGUGAUCGGCCACACUGGAACUGAGACACGGUCCAGACUCCUACGGGAGGCAGCAGUAGGGAAUCUUCCGCAAUGGGCGAAAGCCUGACGGAGCAACGCCGCGUGAGUGAUGAAGGUCUUCGGAUCGUAAAACUCUGUUAUUAGGGAAGAACAUAUGUGUAAGUAACUGUGCACAUCUUGACGGUACCUAAUCAGAAAGCCACGGCUAACUACGUGCCAGCAGCCGCGGUAAUACGUAGGUGGCAAGCGUUAUCCGGAAUUAUUGGGCGUAAAGCGCGCGUAGGCGGUUUUUUAGUCUGAUGUGAAAGCCCACGGCUCAACCGUGGAGGGUCAUUGGAAACUGGAAAACUUGAGUGCAGAAGAGGAAAGUGGAAUUCCAUGUGUAGCGGUGAAAUGCGCAGAGAUAUGGAGGAACACCAGUGGCGAAGGCGACUUUCUGGUCUGUAACUGACGCUGAUGUGCGAAAGCGUGGGGAUCAAACAGGAUUAGAUACCCUGGUAGUCCACGCCGUAAACGAUGAGUGCUAAGUGUUAGGGGGUUUCCGCCCCUUAGUGCUGCAGCUAACGCAUUAAGCACUCCGCCUGGGGAGUACGACCGCAAGGUUGAAACUCAAAGGAAUUGACGGGGACCCGCACAAGCGGUGGAGCAUGUGGUUUAAUUCGAAGCAACGCGAAGAACCUUACCAAAUCUUGACAUCCUUUGACAACUCUAGAGAUAGAGCCUUCCCCUUCGGGGGACAAAGUGACAGGUGGUGCAUGGUUGUCGUCAGCUCGUGUCGUGAGAUGUUGGGUUAAGUCCCGCAACGAGCGCAACCCUUAAGCUUAGUUGCCAUCAUUAAGUUGGGCACUCUAAGUUGACUGCCGGUGACAAACCGGAGGAAGGUGGGGAUGACGUCAAAUCAUCAUGCCCCUUAUGAUUUGGGCUACACACGUGCUACAAUGGACAAUACAAAGGGCAGCGAAACCGCGAGGUCAAGCAAAUCCCAUAAAGUUGUUCUCAGUUCGGAUUGUAGUCUGCAACUCGACUACAUGAAGCUGGAAUCGCUAGUAAUCGUAGAUCAGCAUGCUACGGUGAAUACGUUCCCGGGUCU